rnacentral:tRNA from 1 species
GCGGAGGUAGCCAAGUCUGGUCAAAGGCGCUAGACUCAAGAUCUAGUCUCUUAGUGAGUUCGCAGGUUCAAAUCCUGCCCUCCGCA